UGACCUGGCGGAUGUUACACAUGCAGUCGAACGGCAGCACGGACUUCGGUCUGGUGGCGAGUGGCGAACGGGUGAGUAAUACAUCGGAACGUGCCCAGUCGUGGGGGAUAACGUAGCGAAAAUUACGCUAAUACCGCAUACGAUCUAAGGAUGAAAGCGGGGGAUCGCAAGACCUCGCGCGAUUGGAGCGGCCGAUGGCAGAUUAGGUAGUUGGUAGGGUAAAGGCCUACCAAGCCGACGAUCUGUAGCUGGUCUGAGAGGACGACCAGCCACACUGGGACUGAGACACGGCCCAGACUCCUACGGGAGGCAGCAGUGGGGAAUUUUGGACAAUGGGCGAAAGCCUGAUCCAGCCAUUCCGCGUGCAGGAUGAAGGCCCUCGGGUUGUAAACUGCUUUUGUACGGAACGAAAAGGUCCUGGUUAAUACCUGGGGCUCAUGACGGUACCGUAAGAAUAAGCACCGGCUAACUACGUGCCAGCAGCCGCGGUAAUACGUAGGGUGCAAGCGUUAAUCGGAAUUACUGGGCGUAAAGCGUGCGCAGGCGGUGAUGUAAGACAGAGGUGAAAUCCCCGGGCUCAACCUGGGAACUGCCUUUGUGACUGCAUCGCUGAGUACGGCAGAGGGGGAUGGAAUUCCGCGUGUAGCA
rnacentral:rRNA from 1 species